GUUUGCACUCAUCGGGGAAGGGUGAGAACCUUCGACUAAGGUUCGAUUCGAGCGAAAGCGAGAGAACGUUGCCACAGGCAACGGCCCGAAGGGUGAG
rnacentral:sRNA from 1 species